UGGGGAAUAUUGCACAAUGGGCGAAAGCCUGAUGCAGCAACGCCGCGUGAGUGAUGAAGGCCUUCGGGUUGUAAAGCUCUGUCUUCUGGGACGAUAAUGACGGUACCAGAGGAGGAAGCCACGGCUAACUACGUGCCAGCAGCCGCGGUAAUACGUAGGUGGCAAGCGUUGUCCGGAUUUACUGGGCGUAAAGGAUGCGUAGGCGGAUACUUAAGUCAGAUGUGAAAAUCCCGGGCUUAACUUGGGAACUGCAUUUGAAACUGGGUAUCUAGAGUGCGGGAGAGGAUAGUGGAAUUCCUAGUGUAGCGGUGAAAUGCGUAGAGAUUAGGAAGAAGACCAGUGGCGAAGGCGACUUUCUGGACCGUAACUGACGCUGAGGCAUGAAAGCGUGGGGAGCAAACA
rnacentral:rRNA from 1 species